rnacentral:rRNA from 1 species
CCUACGGGGGGCAGCAGUCGAGAAUCAUUCACAAUGGGGGAAACCCUGAUGGUGCGACGCCGCGUGCGGGAUGAAGGCCCUACGGGUCGUAAACCGCUUUUGCACGGGGAUAACACCCUCCACUUGUGGAGGUCUGCAGGUACCGUGCGAAUAAGGGCCGGCUAAUUCCGUGCCAGCAGCCGCGGUAAUACGGAAGGCCCGAGCGUUAUCCGGAUUCAUUGGGCUUAAAGGGAGCGUAGGCGGGCGUUCAAGUCAGCUGUAAAAUCGCGCGGCUCAACCGCGCCCCGCAGUUGAAACUGGAAGCCUUGAGUUCACAACAGGCAGGCGGAAUUCGUGGUGUAGCGGUGAAAUGCAUAGAUAUCACGAGGAACCCCGAUUGCGAAGGCAGCCUGCCGGGGUGCGACUGACGCUGAGGCUCGAAGGUGCGGGUAUCAAACAGGAUUAGAUACCCCAGUAGUC